rnacentral:rRNA from 1 species
AUUGAACGCUGGCGGCAUGCCUUACACAUGCAAGUCGAACGGCAGCACGGGAGUAAUCCUGGUGGCGAGUGGCGAACGGGUGAGUAAUAUAUCGGAACGUGCCCAGUCGUGGGGGAUAACGUAGCGAAAGCUACGCUAAUACCGCAUACGAUCUAUGGAUGAAAGCGGGGGAUCGCAAGACCUCGCGCGAUUUGAGCGGCCGGUCUCAGAUUGGGUAGUUGGUGGGGGAAAGGCUCACCAAGCCGACGAGCUGUAGCUGGUCUGAGAGGAGGAGCAGCCACACUGGGACUGAGACACGGCCCAGACUCCAACGGGAGGCAGCAGUGGGGAAUUUUGGACAAUGGGCGCAAGCCUGAUCCAGCAAUGCCGCGUGCAGGAUGAAGGCCUUCGGGUUGUAAACUGCUUUUGUACGGAGCGAAAAGGCUCUCUCUAAUACAGGGGGCUCAUGACGGUACCGUAAGAAUAAGCACCGGCUAACUACGUGCCAGCCGCCGCAGUAAUAC